rnacentral:rRNA from 1 species
GAUGAACGCUGGCGGCGUGCCUAAUACAUGCAAGUCGAGCGACCGGACGAGAACUUUCCUCCUCUGAUGUUUGCGGCGGACGGGUGAGUAACAUGUGGAUAACUUCUCUAUAAGACUGGGAUAACUCCGGGAACCCGGAGCUACCACCGGAUGAUUAUUUGAACCGACUGGUUCACAUGUGAACGACGGCCUUGCUGUUACCUAUUGAUGGAUCCGCGCUGGAUUAGCUAGUUGGUAUGGUAACGGCUUACCAAGGCAACGAUGCAUAGCCGGCCUGAGAGGAUGAUCAGCCACACUGGAACUGAGACACGGUACAGACUCCUACGGGAGGCAGCAGUGGGGAAUCUUCGACAAUGGGCGAAAGCCUGACGCAGCAACGCCGCGUGAGUGAUGAAGGUCUUCGGAUCGUAAAGCACUUUUGUUAGGAAAGAACAUAUUUGUAAGUAUCCGGUCGCAUGAUGACGGUACCGGAACAAAAAGCCACGGCUAACUACGUG